AAUCCCUUUAAAUAAAGUCCAGAGAGGCUUGCAAGGGAGGUCGCAAAUCUGUGCACAGUGCUUUGCUAUGUACAGGUCUGCUUAAUGUAACCUCCUUUGCGGCAAAGGAGGUAUUUUUUU
rfam:Fictibacillus macauensis ZFHKF-1 Contig27, whole genome shotgun sequence.